rnacentral:lncRNA from 1 species
UCACAGACAUGGUGACAGGCCUAACUGAGAAUUGCUUUUCCAGGUGCUUCUUGAUUAUGUCAGGUUGACAAGAAAAACAAGUGCACUGUAGCAGGGCUCCAGGCAUCGAGUCCCACUGUAAUGAAGUGGAAACCACACAGAAUGUGAGCACCUCCAAACUGUUCAUGGGGUCACCACUGCUCUGGCAUCUGCGGCUUCAGCC